rnacentral:rRNA from 1 species
CCUACGGGUGGCAGCAGUGGGGAAUAUUGCGCAAUGGGCGAAAGCCUGACGCAGCGACGCCGCGUGAGGGAUGAGGGUCUUCGGAUUGUAAACCUCUGUCAGCAGGGAAGAACGGUCACUGUGCUAAACAGCAGUGAAUUGACGGUACCUGCAAAGGAAGCACCGGCUAACUCCGUGCCAGCAGCUGCGGUAAUACGGAGGGUGCGAGCGUUAAUCGGAGUUACUGGGAGUAAAGAGUUCGUAGGCGGUAUGUCAAGUCAAGGGUGAAAUCCCCGCGCUCAACUUGGGAACUGCCUUUGAUACUGGCAGACUGGAGUGUGUGAGAGGAUAGUGGAAUUCCAGGUGUAGGGGUGAAAUGCGUAGAUAUCUGGAGGAACAUCAGUGGCGAAGGCGGCUUUCUGGCCCAUAACUGACGCUGAGGAGCGAAAGCGUGGGUAGCAAACAGGAUUAGAUACCCCUGUAGUC